UGAAAAUCUGAGGCUUCACAUUUGAGCAUUCAAGUGGUGGCUGCUGUUGUUGACAUUGCUGCGCCGCCGCCCAAAGAAGAAGACAGGGUUGAGGUUGAAGUAGGAGGGCUUGGGCUUCGGAUGGUAUCUAGGACAGAGGUAGGCUCAGUGAGAAGAAGAAGGAAAGAAAAAAA